rnacentral:lncRNA from 1 species
CUGCUAGAGAUGGCUUAUUACAGCAUGUUGCUGUACGGUACCAGAGGUUCAGCUAGCUGCCAGAGAUGGCUUAUUACAGCAUGUUGCUGUACGGUACCAGAGGUUCAGCUAGCUGCUAGAGAUGGCUUAUUACAGCAUGUUGCUGUACGGUACCAGAGGUUCAGCUAGCUGCUAGAGAUGGCUUAUUACAGCAUGUUGCUGUACGGUACCAGAGGUUCAGCUAGCUGCCAGAGAUGGCUUAUUACAGCAUGUUGCUGUACGGUACCAGAGGUUCAGCUAGCUGCCAGAGAUGGCUUAUUACAGCAUGUUACUGUACAGUACCAGAGGUUCAGCUAGCU